UACAGGGGGGCGAGCGGUUGUUCGGAAUUAUUGGGCGUAAAGGGCGCGUAGGCGGUGCGGUAAGUCACCUGUGAAACCUCUGGGCUUAACCCAGAGCCUGCAGGCGAAACUGCCGUGCUAGAGUGUGGGAGAGGUGCGUGGGAAUUCCCGGUGGUAAGCGGUGAAAUGCGUAGAUAUCGGGAGGAACACCUGUGGCGAAAGCGGCGCACUGGACCACAACGUGACGCUGAGGCGCGAAAGCUAGGGGAGCAAACAGG
rnacentral:rRNA from 1 species